GACGAACGCUGGCGGCGUGCUUAACACAUGCAAGUCGAACGGAAAGGCCCUGCUUUUGUGGGGUGCUCGAGUGGCGAACGGGUGAGUAACACGUGAGUAACCUGCCCUUGACUUUGGGAUAACUUCAGGAAACUGGGGCUAAUACCGGAUAGGAGCUCCUGCUGCAUGGUGGGGGUUGGAAAGUUUCGGCGGUUGGGGAUGGACUCGCGGCUUAUCAGCUUGUUGGUGGGGUAGUGGCUUACCAAGGCUUUGACGGGUAGCCGGCCUGAGAGGGUGACCGGCCACAUUGGGACUGAGGUACGGCCCAGACUCCUACGGGAGGCAGCAGUGGGGAAUAUUGCACAAUGGGAGGAAGCCUGAUGCAGCAACGCCGCGUGCGGGAUGACGGCCUUCGGGUUGUAAACCGCUUUCGCCUGUGACGAAGCGUGAGUGACGGUAAUGGGUAAAGAAGCACCGGCUAACUACGUG
rnacentral:rRNA from 1 species